rnacentral:snoRNA from 1 species
UGCUAAACUAAAAUCAGCAAUACAGCGAAAGGCUGUCGUCCUGACUAACCUUGACGAUAGCAAGUGCCGUCCGAGCU